rnacentral:rRNA from 1 species
GACGAACGCUGGCGGCGUGCCUAAUACAUGCAAGUAGAACGCUGAAGGAGGAGCUUGCUUCUCCGGAUGAGUUGCGAACGGGUGAGUAACGCGUAGGUAGCCUGCCUGGUAGCGGGGGAUAACUAUUGGAAACGAUAGCUAAUACCGCAUAAGAGUAGAUGUUGCAUGACAUUUGCUUAAAAGGUGCAAUUGCAUCACUACCAGAUGGACCUGCGUUGUAUUAGCUAGUUGGUGAGGUAACGGCUCACCAAGGCGACGAUACAUAGCCGACCUGAGAGGGUGAUCGGCCACACUGGGACUGAGACACGGCCCAGACUCCUACGGGAGGCAGCAGUAGGGAAUCUUCGGCAAUGGACGGAAGUCUGACCGAGCAACGCCGCGUGAGUGAAGAAGGUUUUCGGAUCGUAAAGCUCUGUUGUAAGGGAAGAACGAGUGUGAGAGUGGAAAGUUCACACUGUGACGGAAUCUUACCAGAAAGGGACGGCUAACUACGU